rnacentral:tRNA from 1 species
GUAGGUGAAGCCCAGAAGGAGGGUAGCGUGGCCGAGCGGUCUAAGGCGCUGGAUUAAGGCUCCAGUCUCUUCGGAGGCGUGGGUUCGAAUCCCACCGCUGCCAGCUUGUUGUGAUUCCUCCAUUUUUGUCCCUUCAUGGGUUACAAAAGGAGGAAGUCGCCUUGGGCCCCACGCUUUCCCGGCAUCGGGAAUUCCAUUUGGCAUUGUGCAUCCAUCCACUGGACGGGCUUUGUGGGGAGUUCGUCAUGCUGGUGUCAACAGCAAGUGAGGUGGGUUCCGUUCUUCCCAGAUGCCAAUGAUUGCGGCGGAAAGGCAACGGUAUAAAUACCCUUGAUAGCCUUUUCUCCUUAAGUGGGUGGAGAUAUUGGUGGGAUGUUCUAGGCUAGUCUUCGGUGUAAUAAAUUUGAAGCAGUUAAGUGAAAAGUAGAAGGAACUGUUUCCGCCCGGUUUCGAACCGGGGACCUUUCGCGUGUGAGGCGAACGUGAUAACCACUACACUACGGAAACCGGCUUGAUGCUUUUCUGCCAUCAUAAUUAGUCACGACACACGGCGGUGAAUGUAGGGUUUAUACAAGAAAAAGAGGAGAAAGGAGAGAAGCACCACAGCUCCUCUUGAAACAGUGAGUCUUUUUUUCUCCUGUAGGUAAGUUGCUUGGCUAGAGUUUGCCACAAGCAUAUGUCUGGGCACUGCCCUGAAUGGGCUGGCUGAGCUCACUGGGAAACUAUUUAAUUAUGUAUAGUUUCCCCCAAAAAACUUAAGUCUGCAAUGCUUGCAAAGUGCAGGUUGUGUCUGCACCGUUUUUUAUCAUUAUAAUUCUUCAGAAAUUAACAUAACCUUUCAAUUUUCACUAAAGUGUACAACCAAAGCAACAGAACAGAAUUCAGCAUUCUUUUAUUUCUCAAAAACAAAGCAAUUUCCAAUUGUUUAAGGGUAGUAAUAUAGUUUGUAUUUAUGUCCUCGUCAAAAUUUACGUUGAAAUGUAAUUCCCAAUAUUGGAGGUGGGGCCUGGUGGGAGGUUAUUGGAUCAUGAGGAUGGAUUUCUCAUGAAUGGUUUAGCACCACGGCCUUGGUGCUGUCCUCCCUAUUAUGAGUUCUCCCCUGAUAAGGUUUUAAAAAGUGUGUGGCACCCCCCGCCUUCUUGCUCCCACCUUCGCCAUGUGAUGUGCCUGCUCCCUCUUUGCCUUCUGCCGUGAUUGGAAGCUUCCUGAAGCCUCGCCAGAAGCAGAAGCUGGCGGUAUGCUUCCUGCACAGCCUGCAGAGCCAUGAGCCAAUUAAGCCUCUUUUCUUAUCAAUUACCCAGCCUCAGGUAUUUCUUUUCUUUUCUUUUCUUUCUUUUUUUGAGACGGAGUCUCGCACUGUCAUCCAGGCCAGAGUGCAGUGGGGUGAUCUCGGCUCACUGCAAGCUCCGCCUCCCGGGUUCACGCCAUUCUCCUGCCUCAGCCUCCCGAGUAGCUGGGACUACAGGCGCCCGCCACCGCGCCCUAAUUUUUUGUAUUUUUAGUAGAGACGGGGUUUCACCAUGUUGGUCAGGCUGGUCUCGAUCUCCUGACCUCGUGAUCCGCCCGCCUCGGCCUCCCAAAGUGCUGGGAUUACAGGCGUGAGCCCCCGCGCCCGGCCGGGAUUAUCGUGUUCUUGCGGCUGAGUGGUGCUCUGCUGCGCAUCCACCUCGGUGCCUCCGCCCACUCCUGCACCGACGGCCGCUGCCUUUGCUCGCAGAUCUGGGCUAUUGUGAACAGCGCUGCGGUAAACGUGGCGGCACAGACAUCUCUCGGGCAAACCGAGGAUGCGAUACGGAUACUUCCUCCGUCAUUUCCACUCCCCUUUCUCCAGGCCCUGAAGCUCCGUCUCCACGCCCGAACUCGUGGCCUCCCAUUCCCCAGGCAGCUUCUCCCGAAUGUCCCCUCUCAGAAACCGGUGCCAGCGCGUCCCCGCUGUGCCACCCCCAAGCCCACUGCCAACCCCGCACAGUUCCGCGUCCGCCGUCUCCUCUCCCUGCGGUCGCUGCCACACCCUCUCGUCCGGUCUCCCAUGCCCCCUUAUGCUACCGCGUCGGGCAUGAAAACUUCCUUUUCUUUCUUCUCCUUCUUUCCUUCCUUUUGAGACAG